rnacentral:sRNA from 1 species
CGGCGCCGAGGUCCCGGGGCCUGUGGUGACUUUCGCGCUCCCUUGGGGCCCCCACGAGCCCCUUGCGCCCCCCGCGCUGGAAUGCACCUGUGCCGCCCUGCGCGGCCUCCUGCACGGACCACCCGCCUACGGGGCGCCGGGCUCCGGAAGUGCAGGGGACCCGGGGCAGAGGCGCCAGAUGCCUCUCCCCCAUGCCACCCUGGGUUCCCUUGCAAGGCAGCAUGCAUUCCCAGGAGGGGUAUGCUGACCC